rnacentral:tRNA from 1 species
GUAUAUAUAGCUCAGUGGUAGAGUGCAUGCUUAGCGUGCACAAGGUUCUGGGUUCAAUCUCCAGUACUUCCA